rnacentral:lncRNA from 1 species
CUUUGUUUCUGUAUGAUUUCUGUAAAGCCUGGAGGGUUGGAACAGGCUGUAUGACUGAGCAGUUGAGAAGGUUUGUUAUCUGUGUUAUCUGAUCUGUUGCAAUCCACACCCUGCCUGCAUGCUUUUUGUUGCUGUGUCAGUUUUGUGUUUUCUGGUCUGCUGUUUCUGUUAAUUUUGUAAACUGUGCUGUCUGUCGAAGUUUCACAAUUGUUCUGUGUGUUUGUUAAGCGUCUCUCUCUGUCCUUACUGCCCACCCACGUGGCAUUCGUGGGUCAGGGGUCUUUUCUUGCCCUGAGCAUGUGGCGUGCGGGAUAGGAGUUCCUCUGCCAUGUGCCAUGGGUUGGAGUGUCCUGCGGCACAGUCCCCUGAGGCUACUGCUCUGAACUCCAACCACUGCUGUGGCCCUCACAGCUGAGCCUGGCCGGUGCAGGCAGGUUGGGAGUUUGCUGUAGCAACAGAAAGAAGAAAGCUUUCAAAUUAGCAACUGCUCCCAUCCUUCAGAAGGCAAACAAAGGAAAGCAGGUGACUACACACUGACAAAGUCUGCACCACCCAAGAAGGCGAUAAAUACAUCAACAAUGUCUGAUCCAUUAGCAGUUGACAAGUUCAGAGGAAAUACUACAGUACAUCUAUCUUGUCUUGUGAAUUUCUUUUCUGGAGCUGGUAACACGAAAAACUAUAACUUUAAAGUCUUCAAUUUCAUCAGAGACCCAAGGAGGCAAUAAUAUUACCUGAGUAAGCAGCACAUGCAAGCAAGUGACUUCCAAAAAAUGUGAGAAAUGACAAAAACAUCUGGCUGCCUGGACAGUCACCCAAGUUUCCUCUGCAACAUUGGACAUCCAUCUUCGGCCUAGCAUAUCUGGUAGACUUUUCUGUGAAGCAGAAUAUUCUGAAGGGUUGUCUUACCUUAUCUUGGCAAAGUUCAGCAGUCGUUUCUUUUGUGUCCUGCUUGUACAAUUUGGACAGCGUACUGUCAACAGUCGAGGCAAGAGCACUUUUUUGCUCAGCGGAUAACUUUUGCCACAAAGAAAGUAAACUCCAUGUGGAGUUUGUUCAAUGCCCAUCAUCUUUGAAGUAGAUUUGCACCACCAAGAGAAGACAUGUCUCAUUCUAUGAAAAACGAAAAGGACCUAUGUUAUUAAAAUCCAAGCCAAUGUAAAAAUAUUUAAAACUUAGUAAUUGCUUUUUUUGGUCCAAAGGUAGAUUCAAUAAUCUACCUCUUCAUCCUGUUCCUAUAUCCCUCUUUUUUUUUUUUUCAUUUCAGAGUAAAUUCAAUAAUAUGCCCUUAAAUCCUAUCGUAUCUAUAUGCACCUUUUUGCUUUUCAAAAUGAGAGCUCUGAAUAUAAUUUUUUUAGCUUUUGUUUAGCUAUUUUUUAAAGCUUUGUUCAGCUUUUUCCCUGACCAUAACCAAUAACAAUUUCUAACCGACCCCCUUAAACAAUGACAGAUAUCCAUAACCCAAUGAGUGAUCAAAACCUACCCACCCCACCUCUUGGGAACGUGGGUGUUGUAUUCUUUAAUUCCUGCUGUCUUCAGGUAAUCGAAUCUUUGGGGGAUCCUGAAAAGAAAAAUUUGAGUUAAUUGUCAAGUCUUGG